CGCUUGCACGAGGAUGCACAGUAAUUCCGCGGCACGCAGUUGUUUUCUUGCCUGUCACGAGCGCAUUCCGUUACAAUUAUGAAAUAGUUCUUAUGAAGCUAUCAGCUAGCAGAUUCUACGGAUUCAAGUCACUGUCGGAGGGUGGACGUGUGCCAAUAAGAUGCCGUGUUCCGCCAGGCCAUGCACAGAAGCUUGUUGGUGUCCCCAGAAGUGACCAGUGAUCCAAAUAUUAGGGGGACACGGUCAAAGGAUCAGCAUACAUGCUUCUUCAGCACAAAUUCACAAGAGUGCACCAGAACACAUUAAAAGGACGCAAUAAAUCAAGAGUGACAUUAAGACGAAUGGAAUGAACCUUAGACUUGAUGUGUCAUGUGACAGAUGGGGACGGGCAAACCAGCCCCGGCUCAGAU